GCGUCCAUAGCUCAGCUGGAUAGAGCGCCGGACUUCGAAUCCGUAGGUCGCAGGUUCGAAUCCUGCUGGGCGUA
rnacentral:tRNA from 2 species